CCUACGGGUGGCAGCAGUGAGGAAUAUUGGUCAAUGGCCGUAAGGCUGAACCAGCCAAGUAGCGUGAGGGAAGACUGCCCUAUGGGUUGUAAACCUCUUUUAUGCGGGGAUAAAGGUGUCCACGUGUGGAUGUUUGCAGGUACCGUAAGAAUAAGGCCUGGCUAAUUCCGUGCCAGCAGCCGCGGUAAUAAGGAAGGGUCGGGCGUUAUCCGGGUUUUUUGGGUUUAAAGGGAGCGUAGGCCGGUCUUUAAGCGUGCCGUGAAACUUUGUGGCUCAACCAUGGGAGUGCGGCGCGAACUGGGGGCCUUGAGUGCGCGAAAGGCAGGCGGAAUUCGUGGUGUAGCGGUGAAAUGCUUAGAUAUCACGAAGAACCCCGAUUGCGAAGGCAGCCUGCCGGAGCGUAACUGACGCUGAAGCACGAAAGCGCGGGUAUCGAACAGGAUUAGAUACCCCUGUAGUC
rnacentral:rRNA from 1 species